UUGGAUACACGCUACCAUUGGGAAGUCAGUAGUGCAUAAUUUCAAAACAAAAAUUAAUGGGCUUGGAUUAUGUCACAUGACAAACUUUAUUGUUUAUCCAAAUAAGGAGAAGUUCAACACGACAAAACAUAGUUGAGGCUGAAUUUUACUCUACCAAUAACAGUGGCUGAAACAACAGAUCAACUUUUCCCAAUGAUAAUCUUUGAUCUGCGACCAUACGAUCAAUUGAUAGGAAAGGUUGAUGUGAACGAGACUGAAUUAUUCGGUAAAAAUAAUUUCCGCUUGAAUUUCUAACUAUCAUCUUUUCUGCUAUUUAUUUUAAUAUCUAAUAAUUCUUCAGAUGUGAUCGGAGAAAUCGUCAGUUUUGGUGAGGUACAAAUGCUCAAACGAGAUGGAGUUUCAAGAAAGUUUAUGAAUCUCGAACUAGAAGAUGAUGAGGGGGAACAAUUUCUGCAAUUGUGGAAAGUACAUAUCCAGAUUUUUUGAGCCACUGCAGUGACAUAACAUACCUACAAUAAAGAGGAAUUCUUGCUCCUACUCUUGACAUGGUUGAAUCAAUCAAUGAACACAUGGUUUGAUUAAACCAUAGUCAAGCAAAAACAUAUUUGAGUUCUGAUACAAUCUGCAUGUCGGACGAUGCUUUUACAGGUUUGGAACACGUACAUACACCUGAAUUCCUAAACACUAUUAAGUGCUCUGUAAUUCCAAAUCAUGCGAUCACUUUGAAAGUGGGUGUCCUGGUGAUGUUAUUGAGAAAUACAGACCAAGCUUCCGGGCUAUGUAAUGGAACAAGAAUAGUCAUCACUAGACUUGGAAAUAGGUUAUCGAAGCAAAAGGUUUAUCCGAAAAUAUGGCUGGAUAAAAGGUGUUCAUUCCGAGAAUGUUGCUGACUCCAUCUGAUGCAAGAAUACCUUUUAAGUUCCAGCGAAGGAAAUUUCCAAUUAGUUGUAUCUUUUGCCAUGACUAUUAAUAAAAGUCAAGGGCAAUCAUUAUCUCAUGUUGGGUUAUAUUUGAAGAAAUCAGUGUUCACACAUGGGCAACUUUAUGUUGCCCUAUCCCGCGUGACAACAAGAAGGGGAUUAAAGAUUCCGAUGUAUGAUGAUGAUGGAGAAAUUUCAAAUGAAGCAACAAAUGUAGUGUACAAAAAAGUUUUCAGCAAUUUACUUGGAGAAUGAAAGAAAAUCUGAUCUGAAGUUUCAGCACGACUGCUACUGAUGCUCCCGUCUUUAUUGAACCAUCUUGGAAAUAAGCUUUAGAAGCAAUAGUUGAAAACUUUAAUUGAGUUCAGGCAAAGGAUGUUGAGGUUUACAAGAAAAAAUUGCUCUGUUGAUGGAGGUGGAAUAAGAGAAAACAAAGGACUUUCUGGAGCAAGGUGUGGAUCGGCAAAAGCAGUGGUCUGUAGGAUUAUGACAAGUUAAAGAAGCAGAAGUGGCAUCUAUUCGCUCAAUUCUUCUCGCCCAUCCUUCUGAAGGUUAUUCUAAAAAUCAAAGUAGAAGUUCAAAUUUUUACCUGAAUUAAGGCCCUUAUAAAGAGGACUAACGAGAUUAGACAUCAGCUGGAGUGAAAUGCUUUACUUUGAUUCUGUUUGUGUCCCUCUUUGUAAGGUUCUAAUCUGAUCGUUGAAGACUUAUUCGAAGGGCAUCCCAUCAGUCAAGGAAAGCUAAAAAGAACUUCUUAGUCAUACCCCAUCGCAGGUUUUUACUGGGGCUUUGUUGGGUAUUGUGGUUGCUUGGAUGUAUUGUCAGGGUUGUUUAAUUGCAAUAUGAUCAGCUUACAUAGGUAAACUUUCCAAUAACUAGGAGUCAUUCAUUAUAACUGUACAAGAAGCACCAUCUUUUUGUAUGAACGAUUGAUGCUUAUGUUCAUUCCCAAGUAAAAGGCAAAAAAAAA